ensembl:lncRNA
CUCUGGUCUAGUAUGUAAGGAAUAGGAGGCCAUUUGGGCUCUGGUCUAGUAUGUAGGGAAUAGGAGGCCAUUUGGGCCCAUGGGGCUCUGGUCUAGUAUGUAGGGAAUAGGAGGCCAUUUGGGGCCUGGUCUAGUAUGUAGGGAAUAGGAGGCCAUUUUGGCCCAUGGGGAAUAGGAGGCCAUUUUGGCCCAUGGGGAAUAGGAGGCCAUUUGGGCCCAUGGGGAAUAGGAGGCCAUUUGGGCCCAUGGGGAAUAGGAGGCCAUUUUGUCGGCCCAUGGGGCUCUGGUCUAGUAUGUAGGGAAUAGGAGGUCAUUUGGGUCCAUAGGGCUCUGGUCUAGUAUGUAGGAAAUAGGAGGCCAUUUGGGUCCAUGGUGCUAUGGUCUAGUAUGUAGGGAAUAGGAGGCCAUUUGGGCUCUGGGCUAGUAUGUACGGAAUAGGAGGCCAUUUGGGCUCUGGUCUAGUAUGUAGGGAAUAGGAGGCCAUUUGGGACCAUGGGGCUCUGGUCUAGUAUGUAGGAAAUAGGAGGCCAUUUGGGCUCUGGUCUAGUAUGUAGGGAAUAGGAGGCCAUUUGGGCUCUGGUCUAGUAUGUAGGGAAUAGGAGGCCAUUUGGGCUCUGGUCUAGUAUGUAGGGAAUGGGAUGCCAUUUUGGCCCAUGGGGAAUAGGAGGCCAUUUAGGCCCAUGGGGAAUAGGAGGCCAUUUGGGCCCAUGGGGAAUAGGAGGCCAUUUGGGCCCAUGGGGAAUAGGAGGCCAUUUGGGCCCAUGGGGAAUAGGAGGCCAUUUGGGCCCAUGGGGAAUAGGAGGCCAUUUGGGCCCAUGGGGAAUAGGAGGCCAUUUGGGCCCAUGGGGAAUAGGAGGCCAUUUUGGGCCCAUGGGGCUCUGGUCUAGUAUGUAGGGA